rnacentral:tRNA from 1 species
GGAGAGAUGGCUUAGUGGUUAAGAACACUGACUGCCCUUCCAGAGGUGCUGAGUUCAAUUCCCAGUAUCCACA